UACGGGGGGGGCAAGCGUUGUUCGGAAUUACUGGGCGUAAAGGGCUCGUAGGCGGCCAACUAAGUCGGAUGUGAAAUCCCCAGGCUCAACCUGGGAACUGCAUCCGAUACUGGAUGGCUUGAAUUCGGGAGAGGGAUGCAGAAUUCCAGGUGUAGCGGUGAAAUGCGUAGAUAUCUGGAGGAAUACCGGUGGCGAAGGCGGCAUCCUGGACCGGCAUUGACGCUGAUGAGCGAAAGCUAGGGGAGCAAACGGG
rnacentral:rRNA from 1 species